UUUAUUGGAGAGUUUGAUCCUGGCUCAGGAUGAACGCUGGCGGCGUGCCUAAUACAUGCAAGUCGAGCGAAUGGAUUAAGAGCUUGCUCUUAUGAAGUUAGCGGCGGACGGGUGAGUAACACGUGGGUAACCUGCCCAUAAGACUGGGAUAACUCCGGGAAACCGGGGCUAAUACCGGAUAACAUUUUGAACCGCAUGGUUCGAAAUUGAAAGGCGGCUUCGGCUGUCACUUAUGGAUGGACCCGCGUCGCAUUAGCUAGUUGGUGAGGUAACGGCUCACCAAGGCAACGAUGCGUAGCCGACCUGAGAGGGUGAUCGGCCACACUGGGACUGAGACACGGCCCAGACUCCUACGGGAGGCAGCAGUAGGGAAUCUUCCGCAAUGGACGAAAGUCUGACGGAGCAACGCCGCGUGA
rnacentral:rRNA from 1 species